AACGAACGCUGGCGGCAGGCUUAACACAUGCAAGUCGAACGCCCCGCAAGGGGAGUGGCAGACGGGUGAGUAACGCGUGGGAACAUACCCUUUCCUGCGGAAUAGCUCUGGGAAACUGGAAUUAAUACCGCAUACGCCCUACGGGGGAAAGAUUUAUCGGGGAAGGAUUGGCCCGCGUUGGAUUAGCUAGUUGGUGCGGUAAAGGCCUACCAAGGCGACGAUCCAUAGCUGGUCUGAGAGGAUGAUCAGCCACAUUGGGACUGAGACACGGCCCAAACUCCUACGGGAGGCAGUAGUGGGGAAUAUUGGACAAUGGGCGCAAGCCUGAUCCAGCCGUGCCGCGUGAGUGAUGAAGGCCUUAGGGUUGUAAAGCUCUUUCACCGAUGAAGACAAUGACGGUAGUCGGAGAAGAAGCCCCGGCUAACUUCGUGCCAGCCGCCGCAGUAAUAC
rnacentral:rRNA from 1 species